AGCGAACGCUGGCGGCAGGCCUAACACAUGCAAGUCGAGCGGCCGUAGCAAUACGGCAGCGGCAGACGGGAUAGUAACACGUGGGAACGCGCCCUUCGGUUCGGAAUAACUCAGGGAAACUUGAGCUAAUACCGGAUACGCCCUUACGGGGAAAGAUUUAUUGCCGAAGGAACGGCCCGCGUCGGAUUAGCUAGUUGGUGAGGUAAUGGCUCACAAGGCGACGAUCCGUAGCUGGUCUGAGAGGA
rnacentral:rRNA from 1 species